rnacentral:rRNA from 1 species
CCCUUAGAUGUUCUGGGCCGCACGCGCGCUACAAUGAUGAAUUCAACGAGUUUAUAACCUUGGUUGAAAAGCCUGGGUAAUCUUUUGAACUUUCGUCGUGAUGGGGCUAGACCCUUGCAAUUAUUGGUCUCCAACGAGGAAUUCCUAGUAAACGCAAGUCAUCAGCUUGCAUUGAUUACGUCCCUGCCCUUUGUACACACCGCCCGUCGCACCUACCGAUUGAAUGGUCCGGUGAAAUCCUCGGAUUGAGACUUUGAUUUCUUCACGGAAAACGCUGUUUUAAAAAGUUGAUUAAACCUUACCAUUUAGAGGAAGGUGAAGUCGUAACA